rnacentral:ribozyme from 14 species
AUAGAAAGAAAAAAAGAAAAACAAAAAGAAAAAGAAAAAAUGAACCCUAAUUUACAACAAGCUACUUAUGAGAGAUAAGUUCAACAACCUUAUUCUUUUACCA